rnacentral:rRNA from 1 species
GAUAAACGCUAGCGGCAGGCUUAACACAUGCAAGUCGAGGGGCAGCAUAGAUUGUAGCAAUACAAUUGGCGGCGACCGGCGCACGGGUGCGUAACGCGUAUGCAACCUACCCGUCACAGGGGGAUAAUCCGGAGAAAUCUGGUCUAAUACCCCAUAACAUAUGGAUCGGCAUCGGUUCAUGUUGAAAUUUUCGGAGGUGACGGAUGGGCAUGCGUAGCAUUAGCUUGUUGGUGAGGUAACGGCUCACCAAGGCGACGAUGCUUAGGGGGACUGAGAGGUUUUCCGCCAACACUGGUACUGAGACACGGACCAGACUCCUACGGGAGGCAGCAGUGAGGAAUAUUGGUCAAUGGGCGCAAGCCUGAACCAGCCAUGCCGCGUGCAGGAUGACGGCUCUAUGAGUUGUAAACUGCUUUUGUACGAGGGUAAAGUGGGUUACGUGUAACCUUUUGAAAGUAUCGUACGAAUAAGGAUCGGCUAACUCCGUGCCAGCCGCCGCCGUAA